AAAUCAAACAGGCAGCUUAAUUGAUUAAAUUUAAUAUAAUAAUGUAUAAAAUAUAAAGUUGCAAAUUUCAAAUAGGAAAAGAGAAUGCUUCCACGUGGCAGCAGUGGAACACCUUCAGAUUGUUGAAGUCGUGCAGAAUUGAGGCGGUUGGACAGUUCACGCAUACAACUGGGAAAUCCAAUUCCGUUUGGUUUUGGGUUUCUAAUUUGAUUUGGACUCAAUUAUUUUAUUUAGGGUUUCUUACCUUUAUAAAUAGUUCAUAGAAAUAAUUAUUUUGGAGAUUAGGUAGGGGGGAAG
rnacentral:lncRNA from 1 species